CAGACUGGAGGCAGCAGUGGGGUAUAUUGCACAAUGGGGGAAACCCUGAUGCCUCUCCUUCUCUUUUUCUCCUCCUUCUUUCUUUCUUUCCCUCCCUCUCCUCCUUUCAGAAGAAAUGACGGUACCUGAGUAAGAAGCACCGGCUAAAUACGUGCCAGCAGCCGCGGUAAUACGUAUGGUGCAAGCGUUAUCCGGAUUUACUGGGUGUAAAGGGAGCGCAGGCGGCACGGCAAGCCUGAUGUGAAAGCCCGCGGCCCAACCGCGGGACUGCAUUGGGAACUACCGGGCUGGAGUGCCGGAGAGGUAGGCGGAAUUCCUAGUGUAGCGGUGAAAUGCGUAGAUAUUAGGAGGAACACCAGUGGCGAAGGCGGCCUACUGGACGGUGACUGACGCUGAGGCUCGAAAGCGUGGGGAGCAAACAGGAUUAGAUACCCUUGUAGUC
rnacentral:rRNA from 1 species